CAAAUCCACAGGUCAAGCACCACCAGCACCUGCAAAAAGUAUACCUGUGAAAAAGGAAACAAAAGCCCCAGCAGCUGAAAAAUUAGAGCCCAAAGCUGAACAAGCUCCAACAGUAAAAAGAACAGAAACAGAAAAAAAGCCACCACCUAUUAAGGAUAGCAAAUCUUUAACAGCUGAGCCUCAAAAGGCUGUCCUUCCCACAAAACUGGAGAAAUCGCCCAAACCAGAAUCAACCUGUCCUCUCUGCAAAACUGAACUCAACAUAGGUUCUAAGGAUCCUCCUAACUUCAAUACUUGCACUGAAUGCAAGAAUCAAGUGUGUAAUCUCUGUGGAUUUAACCCUACACCACAUUUGACUGAGAUUCAAGAAUGGCUUUGUUUAAAUUGCCAAACCCAGAGAGCAAUAUCAGGACAGCUUGGAGACAUAC
rnacentral:ncRNA from 2 species